rnacentral:tRNA from 1 species
AAGGAGUAGUAUAAUGGAAGUACGGAGAGUUUUGAUCUCUUAGGUGUGGGUUCAAUUCCCACUUCUUUAAA